rnacentral:lncRNA from 1 species
AAUUAUUGAAAAAUGAUUUUUGGUACAAAUUCUCUCCCGUGUUCUAGAGAGUGCUAACCCUUCGGAGAAAUUGUUCCUUGUAAACAAUCGUUAACUCUCCAUCUUCCGCCCUAUCAACCGUCUCCUUUGCCUUCGGUGGUGAUGUUUUUCCUUUCUAUCAAUUUCGACGGUUUCUUGCAACUUUUUCUCCCUUUGAUUCCUCUGAUCUCUUUUAAAUUUCUAUACGUUCUUAAAUCUUUUGUUUUUUUUCCUUAACCCAUUGAGGUGAUUUCUUUUCAAAAUCUUUUAGUUUUGUCUCUUAUUCUAAGUGUUUGGUUUUUUUACUUCUCAUGCUUAUUUUGCUUUACUUGAUAUGACCAAUCUUUUAAGUUCUUCUCUAUUGGUGCCUUGUGUAGGUUUUGGCUUACCUCCAAUUUCUGAAGAUAUUCUAUUUUGUUUGUUAGCUUUGUUUUCUUUUAUUUGUUUGUGUUUUCACUGUUUGUGCUGAUUCUACCCCUUUACUGAUGUUAUUGUCGUUUGGCAUUUUCAAAUAUUGAAAGUUGAAGCGAAGCCUUUAAAUAGUGAAUACAUGGAGAACUGAUGCUUUUCAAAACCCAAUGAAUGUCUCAAGACACUCAACCUUUUACUUCUACUAAAUCACCUUAUAUUCUGCCCCAUAAGAGAAAAAUAGAGCAUGUUAUUUAUAGACAUAAGGGAAUUAGCUCUAAAAGUGAGGAGACCAGGAAGAAGUUAGGCUUUGCUUGGUAAAGGGAAAUAAAGUUGGAAGGAUGAAAAUUAGAAGGAUGACCAUAACUUUUUCUUUCCAUGCAUUGCUUGUUAGAGUUGAAAAUUAGAAGUAAAGAAAAUAAAAUAAAAUAUUUGAAAAUCACUCCCUCCUCUCAUCCUUUCAUUUUUCCAAUCAACCACGUACAUCCUUACAGAUCAUGGGAAAAACCCUCCCAGCAUCUAGGCCCAAUCACUAGAGCUCGUAGAGGAGCUGUUAUCCAAAUGAACUGGAUAUUGGUAAUGAAUCACAUCCUUACUAGAGACAAUGCUUAGUAUCCUAUUUGCUUGACAUAAGACAAUUUUAGCUUGUUCUGUUUAGAGAAUUAUGGAUAGUACGUGGAACAACUACUGUUCUAGGAAGGAAAGGCAACUAUAACUACAUUUACUUUGAAGAAAGCCAAGAUACUGACUUUAUUCUUAAUGAGAGCCCUUGGUUAAUGGAAAGAGGAUUCAUAAUAGACGAACUAGAGAAUUUCAUGUUGAUUCUUCACUAAUAUUGGUGCUGCUCUAGUGGUUACCUAACAAACUCAUGCUCCCAUAAGCCAUUCAAAUCAGUGAAGUCAUAGGGGAGGUAAUAGAGGUUGACUGGAGGCCUAUUUUCCCCUGUAAUAUAAGAUACAUAAAUCAUAUCUUUCAUGGGAAGGUAGAGGAUGAGACUUGAAGUUCCUUUCUAACUAAAAUAUUAUGAUUGCACCAGCAUGUUAAUUUUCUCCAUGCUACCUUGAAAGACUUUUUUCGUUCAAAUUUUGCAAUCGCUGGGUGUAUAUGCCCAGAGUUUUCAACUUUUGCUUGUAGUAAUUCCUGAUUUUCGGUAACUUCUAUGACAUGAACUACAUUUAAAACACACCAAAAUUCAGUUCUUCAAUUUUUUCUGCUUCUAUUUACUCUGCAAACUUUUAGGUAAAUCAUGGUUAUUAUACUGCAUCGGCUGAUGUUGGUCUAGAAGACUGUACUCUCCCAGGUUUAUUGGCUCGGUUCUCUUGAUGCAUAAUUGGUUAUAAUUUCUUAAUAUCAUUCCCUCUUAUAUUUUAUGAGUCAGGUAAGGUAAUUUCAACUUGAACUGUUUUCCCAACAAAAUCUGUUCAUGCCAAAACAAUGAACUUUAAGACAUCAAACUGUAAUUGAUCAAUGUUUUAAAUCCUGUUUAGCUUCAUUUUAUCUCUUCCUAUUCCCAACGUUUCAUUAUCAAUUCUCAAACAUGUAACUUUAAAUUUUGGUUAUAUUUAGUUCUAUAUAAGAUAAAGUAGUUAUUUUAAGACAAAUUUUAGUUGUUAAAAGUGUAAAGCUUAAAAAAUAUUUCGUAGAAAAAUAUAAUUUAUUUUGUGUUUGUUUUUUAUUGAGAAUGUUGGCAAUAAUUCUUUUGCAUAGGAGUAUAGGAUCAAUUUGAUUACCAAACUAUCACGACUCUAAUAGUUAAAAUAGGGUGAUAGAGAUUGAGAUGCAGACAAGGUUUCUCUCUUGAGACUAAACACGCCCUCUCAGUGAUAAUAACUUUUACAAAGAAGUUUAUUGCACGUCAUCCUUUAGGAUACAACAAGCACAACCAUCCACUAUACACUUUACUAACCUGUACACAAGUUAGAAGGUAGAAACUUUCUUCAUCCAAUUAAUUAGCAUUUCAAAAGGAACUUCUAAAAAAGAAAAUUUCUUUUUCUUUCUUGGAAAAUGGGAUGCCUUGAUGUUAUUAAUUAAUAUAAAUAACUUAAAAAGUAAUUGUAAUGCACACAAAUUAUAAGUUUAAAGAACUUAAAAUAAUAACUUGUAGUUGUUUAGAAGUUAUUAGAAGUGUGUUUUGUGCUUCUUCUUUUUUAAAUUAAAAUAGAUUAACAAUCUUUCACUUAAUUUAAUGAAAUAUUUUACGUACUAAUUUUUAAAGUCUUGAAUGAAGGUUGCUUUGCAACAAGCUUCAUAAGUUAGGACGAAAUGAUCAUGUGCUUUAUCCCAGUUAUAAUGAGUGUUCUAAAGAACAAACCUUGAUUUUAAUAGGAAACGACUUUCAGUUCCACACUAUGUAGGCAACGCUAUCAAGGAUGCUCUUAUGACUAUACAUCCCACUCAAACAACCUAUAGAACUCGUUAAGAGUAUAAAUGUAUUCAAUCUGUAUUACUAUUAUAUAAUCCAAACAUCACAUUAUAUGGAGGGAUUUAUAUAUAUUAUUUAUAUGUGCAUGUCAUCUACCCAUUUUAUGAUUUGUUUUUCCCUUUAAACUUAAUUGUUGGGAUCACCAAUCACUAUGCAUGCUAUCCUUAUAGUUUAUUUUUAUUCUUGUUUGGGCUUUAGUCUUAUCCCAACUUAAUGCUAUCCAAAUCUUUUUCUAGGUAGAGCUUUUGUCAAAUGAUUUACAAGCUUAUCACUACUUAGAAUAUAGUUAAAAUUAAUGGCACCCUUAGUUAUAUGAGAUCUCACGUAGGUAUGUUAUAUUUUUAUAUUUUAUUGUAAGAUUUGUUAUUUACUCUUCCAAUAGUUGCAAUACUAUCACAAUGAAUAAAGGCAAGUGCCACUGAUUUUUCCAUAUUGGAAUUUCAAGUAAAAAAAAUCUUGUAACCUCCUGAUUAAACACAUAACUAAUGAUAGAUAAUGACUCACAAGCCAAUGUAUUUCAAUUAGUAUCUUUAUAUCCUUAAAGUAUAGUAGGAUGCUUUUGAUAAA